UAUUUCGUUCUUGUCUCCACUGCGCAGCAUUGACGUGCCUGGUGAACUUCUCGCCAGACAAUAUUAAUAACUCGAAUAUGUUAGUGUCUGCACGGGAAACGCAAUCGCGGUAGUGGCAGGUGUCUGGAGCAGAGAGUCGAGUCUACCGGCUGAAACGGUGGCCGUGGCAGAGUGCCGAACAGAAGUAGGACGUUCUUGAUGUAUCGACUGCUCUGAAUCCGUAUUCAACCAGUUGCCACAGAGCGAUGCUGAUUACGAGUGGAGACUAUCCCGAGAGAUCGAAGAACAGUGCGCGAUUUUCGCCAUGGUCUUGAAAAUUGUCCAUGGUUUGUAGAUAUUUAAGAGGAUUCAAUUCCUGUGCGGCUUACGUUUGUACAAGAUGCGUUCCUUCAACGACGUCAGAAAAUUCACAUCUCCAUUAUUCGACCAAGCCAAGUCUGAGAGACUAAAUUCUGUCGAAUAACCGUUGUAUGCCUCGAAUGUGGAGAGCUUGCUGCAUACCUAGGGUGCAAUUACGUUCUAUCGAUUAAGUCAGCAGGUUGGACGAUAGGAUAUGUGUGGGUAGUCUAAUUUCCAGUAAUAUCAACUGAAACAAACAAAGUUGAGCGUUAAAAUGCAAGUUGAAUAGAGAGGAGGGAGAAUAAAAGUAAUAUCAAAAUCGAGCAGAAAGUCGUUUGGCAAAGGAUCGAUGUACAUGCGCAGCGCAAUAAUUAAUUUGCUGAUAACGCUAGGCGUGAUUUUUCAGCCAAAUAAUGGCUCGUUCAAUUAGUAAAUUAGAAUUAACCUGCAUUCCUAAUCAUAAUAUCUUGACUGUUUAUCAAGCGCCAUUAACACAGGGGUUGGGUAAUUAAUUGAUUUACAGUUAUUACAGUUACGGCCGAUUAUAGAACAACAACACGAGCAUGAUUUACGGACACGUAUUUUUAGACACACUGCCCACCUCAGUUCAUCUUUGCUAAUCGCGAGGCUAGAUGUACUUUUUACGUGACACGAAAAUGUCUGUGUCAGAGUUACCUUAACGUGAAUUGUAAACUUUCGCCAAUGUUUUAAACAAUAAAUCACAACUGACAGUAAGAUAUGGUUUUACUUACCGCCACAAUACAACGUGAAGCCAAUUUACACGCAAAAAUGUCAUUUCACCAAAUGUCGCGAAAAAGUUUACGCAUAGUAAAUGGGUAAGAUAUUGUAAUACACACUUCAUUUUGAAUUAAGAAUAAAUACAUAAUCAUCCGUUUAGGAUAAACGAAAAUUUGUUGAAACCCAUUGAAAUUGAAUAUUGCAUUAAAUUGAACAACAA